UUGCAGCGAUUCGGUUGCUGAGCGAGAGGCGAGGUUUUGGUAACUCCGGACUAGUGUCCAGGUGGGGCCAAAGAUGGGCGUGGCGCCCGGGGGCAGGGCCUGCGGAGGCCGAUAGCACUAGGACUGUAGCAGGGUGUGAUCUUCGGACAUCGGUCUGGAGCCGACCUGUCUCAACUGGGACCUCAUUAGGUGCGGCAACCUAUAUGUGCUGGCUUCUUGGCGCUCAUCCUGAAAAGAUACAAAUGUCCACUUCUGGCCAUGAUGAAAUAACAAGGACAAGAUUUUCUCUCCUGCUUGAAACAGCUAAAAGCACUGGACAAAAUAUAUGAAACAUUGAUCUCCAAAAUACUGGACAUCAGAUAACAAAGGACAGUGAACCCUAAGAGACAAGAAAUAGCUGCCCAAACAGACCCGGACUAGAGCCCAGGAGUCUCCGAAUGGGGGCUGUCGAAGCAGCAGGUCAUCGGCCCAGAGUCUGGGGCUGGGAAUCCCCAGCAUUCCCACUGCUGCCACAGAGAGUCAAGAUGGACACAGGCACCCAGGAAAGGAAAAGGACUUGCCUCUCUGAGAACCCAAACGUCUAAGUCAGGCUCACCUUCCCUCCUUCACCUCACCCAGGAGAGCACAGGCAAGGCCACCCACCUUAGGACAACUCCUCUUUGGCAGAAGAGACUUUGGAUCAUUAGUUUGUGCAGCUUUCCUAGCUGCAUUCACAUGAGUAGGUUUUAAAUAUCUGAAUUGUUUCUUUAAACAGCUGGCCCCACCCAUUCGUUGGUACCAGGCGGGCCCCUGCCAAGGCUGAGUCUAGCUUUCAUGUGGCCUGGGAGCCCAGGAGGCUGGGCGGCAGGCUGUGCUGGGUGUACCCAAUUUUUGCCCAGCUGGGCCUGGUGGGGAGGCUUUUGGUGGUGUUGCUAGGCAACCUGGGUAAUUGGAGAGGCCACGGAUUGGGCUUCUGGGCCACAGAGAUUAACAGCCUCCUUCAUCACACUGCAAACCAUCAUUAUGCCCCGUUCCAGAGGCCUGCAGCAAUCUCUGUGGUUAUAGACUGAAAGAGUACUUUUAGCUACAGAAAUUAAGAACCAGCUUUUCAAUAUUAUGGGUUUGUGGCUGAGGUGGUUUUCUUUUUGCUACAUCUCUGAGAAUACACUUGGAAUAAAUAAGCGAACGAUUUAAAAACAAAAAAAAUGCCUUCACAAACCCCCUUUUCCAAAAGUUUUUCUUAUUCCUAAAGCAAAGCAAACUUGCACUCUCUGUGAGGGCAACUAAGGUAGAGACACUGCUUCCUGAGGUCUGUGCAUGCCCACGACAUGUUAAAAGCUUCUUCCUUGGAAUCCCACACAACUGGGGCUGUGGUUCGUGGGGGGGGGGCCAGGGCCUUGGUCCUGAGCAAGGUCUCUCAGCAGAAUAAUUUCUUUGCAUCUCUCCCACUCAACAACAAUCACACUACCCCCCUUCCCAGGCUCCAGCCACUUUCACUUAUACUAUUUCAAUGGAUCCUCCCUAUGAGGAUGAUGUCAUUACUAGGCCCAUUCUAUAGAUGAACAACUAAAGCAAAAGAGGCACCCAUGAUCGUAUACCUACCUAGUCACACCAAAGCUGAGACCCAAACCCAUUUUUCUGAGGCUAGAUGGGCUCUCCACUAUCCACACUGCUUCCCCCAGCGCUACCUAAGAGAGGACAUAUAACUUUGUACCUUAUUACAAUAUAAGUAAUAGUAAUAACAAUACACACAGGCAUAGAGACACAAGAACUUCAUCUUGUGUCUCCUACUAUCCUCCACACAUCAUCCUUGCUGACUGUGGUCAGGCUUCCAAAGCUGCCUCAUGUACACUAAGGAAUAUAGUCUGGAAGAUUUCCCAGAGAUGGACACCCUAUUUAAGUAGGUUAACCAAGUCUACCACAGUACAGAGCUGAAGGAAAACACUGACCCUGAGCCAUCUCUGCCUUCAUUCGAGGAGUUGACUCUGUUUGACAGCAUUUCGAUAGUACGCUGUCAGUCCCCUAAGUAAGGAGGCAGAAGCAUUGCUCUCAUUAGAUAUUUGUAGUUAUUCUUCAAAAGGGCUUUCACCGCCUCUUCUACAAUGUUUCUUGAAUAGUGGUCCAUCGAGAGUGACCAACUGUGAGAGUUUGCACAGGACUAGGGAUUUCUUGAGAUGUGGGACUUGGGGUGCUAAAAUCAGGACAGUCCCGGGCAAACUGAGGACAGUCACCUCUCAUAGACCACCUACAUCAAAUGAUCUAAGAAGACUGUAAAAAAAUAUUGACGUCUGGGCUCAUGAGCCCAGCUCAUCCACCAAUGGCAUCAGAGCCUCUGGAGCUAGGGCCUGAAUACUGGUAUAUUUUAAUGUGUAGCCCAGACUAAAAACCCCUACCCUAGAGAUCUGGAUUCAGAGGGUCUGGGCUGGGGUCUUGCCCAGGAAUCUGCAUGCCUUUUUGACAGCUCUUCAGCGGAUUCGUAUGUAUACUGUGGUUUGAUAAGCAAUGAAUUCUUAUGUUAUGUAUGCAUUCACUGGACAAGCAUUCCCUGAACGUCUUCUAUAUGUUGGGCUCUGGAAACGUAAGAAAAAAACAAACAAAAAAAACACCUCCUAUUCCUAGGUCCUCCCUAUCCGGUGAGGAAUAAAGAUCUAUAAAUUGUCCCAGCACAGUAUACUAUGGUUUAGAUUUAUAAGUGACUCAGCACCAUCAGGGUGAUUAUGGUUAAUCAGUUCCCAGAAGCUUCAUGUGACAGAUUAAAGAUGGAGUAUAUUAUUUGCCAUUCCUCCCACUAAGAGGUGGGGUUCGUUUCUCCUGCCCUUGAAUCUGGGCUAGCCCUGUGACAGGUUUUGACCAGUAAUAUGUGGCAGAAGUAGUACAUCCCAAGGCCAGGCCCUAAGAGAUCUGCAGCCCCACUCUUGUUCUUCUUGGAAGCCUAAGACCAUAAGAAGGUUGACUACUGGGGUGCCUGGCUGGCUCAGUCAGUGGAGCAUGCAACUCUUCAUCU